AAAAAGUGGAAAACAGCUGGUCCUCAGGAUCCUCCAGCCUUUGCCAAGGAAAAGUGGUUUUAAUCACUGAAGAAUGAGGCUUCAACAUAUGGAAAGACUGUAAGGUGUUCCUGGACAGCAAGUGAGUGACUUGCUCACAGGCGGUAAUUCAGGGACCCAGGUUUCUUCUACCUGGUAGCUCUACUGUCCUUCAGAACCUCAGAGCCCUGUGCAUUCAGCCAGCAGGAGAAAGACCACUACUAAGGUCAUUCACUUUGGGAGAAGCCAGUCUUCAUGCCAUGAGGACGUUCAGGCAGCCCUGUGGAGAGAACCACAUGGAAAGGAUCUGAGGUCUCUCACCAGCACCAAUUUGCCAGCUAUGGGAAUGGGCCACCUUGGAAGGAGACUGUCCAGCCCAAGUGAAGGCUGCAGAUAACUGCAGCUUUGGCCAACAUUUGGCUAUAUUGCUUUGGGAAAUCUCAAGCCAGAACCAUCUGGCCAAGCUGCUCUUAAAUUCCUGAUCCACAGA
rnacentral:lncRNA from 1 species